rnacentral:rRNA from 1 species
UACGUAGGGGGCGAGCGUUGUCCGGAUUUAUUGGGCGUAAAGAGCUCGUAGGCGGCUUGGCAAGUCGGGUGUGAAACCUCCAGGCUCAACCUGGAGACGCCACUCGAUACUGCCAUGGCUAGAGUCCGGUAGGGGACCACGGAAUUCCUGGUGUAGCGGUGAAAUGCGCAGAUAUCGGGAAGAACACCCGUGGCGAAGGCGGCUCUCUGGGACGGUACUGACGCUGAGACGCGAAAGCGUGGGGAGCAAACAGG